rnacentral:rRNA from 1 species
AUUCCAGGGCUUACCUUAGUACGGCGAGUGAAGCGGUAAAAGCUUCCAAAUUUGAAAUCUGGUACUUUCAGUGCCCGAGUUGUAAUUUGUAGAAUUUGUCUUUGAUUAGGUCCUUGUCUAUGUUCCUUGGAACAGGACGUCAUAGAGGGUGAGAAUCCCGUUUGGCGAGGAUACCUUUUCUUUGUAAGACUUUUUCGAAGAGUCGAGUUGUUUGGGAAUGCAGCUCAAAGUGGGUGGUAAAUUCCAUCUAAAGCUAAAUAUUGGCGAGAGACCGAUAGCGAACAAGUACAGUGAUGGAAAGAUGAAAAGAACUUUGAAAAGAGAGUGAAAAAGUACGUGAAAUUGUUGAAAGGGAAGGGCAUUUGAUCAGACAUGGUGUUUUUUGCAUGCACUCGCCUCUCGUGGGCUUGGGCCUCUCAAAAAUUUCACUGGGCCAACAUCAAUUCUGGCAGCAGGAUAAAUCAUUAAGAAUGUAGCUACUUCGGUAGUGUUAUAGCUUUUUGGAAUACUGUUAGCCGGGAUUGAGGACUGCGCUUCGGCAAGGAUGUUGGCAUAAUGGUUAAAUGCCGCCCGUCUUAACACCCCGGAAACCA